rnacentral:rRNA from 1 species
GUGCCAGCCGCCGCGGUAAUACUGGCAGCCCGAGUGAUGGCCGAUCUUAUUGGGCCUAAAGCGUCCGUAGCUGGCCGCACGAGUCCGUCGGGAAAUCCGCCCGCUCAACAGGCGGCUGUCCGGCGGAACCUGUGUGGCUUGGGACCGGGAGGCCUGAGGGGUACGAUCGGGGUAGGAGUGAAAUCCUGUAAUCCCGCUCGGACCGCCGAUGGGGAAACCACCUCAGGAGAACGGAUCCGACAGUGAGGGACGAAAGCCAGGGUCUCGAACCGGAUUAGAUACCCCGGUAGUCC